UAGAACCCUAUAUUCGAAAGCAUGAUCAGA
rnacentral:piRNA from 1 species